rnacentral:rRNA from 1 species
GAUGAACGCUGGCGGCGUGCCUAAUACAUGCAAGUCGAGCGAACAGACGAGGAGCUUGCUCCUCUGACGUUAGCGGCGGACGGGUGAGUAACACGUGGAUAACCGACCUAUAAGACUGGGAUAACUUCGGGAAACCGGAGCUAAUACCGGAUAAUAUAUUGAACCGCAUGGUUCAAUAGUGAAAGACGGUUUUGCUGUGACUUAGAGAUGGAUCCGCGCCGCAUUAGCUAGUUGGUAAGGUAACGGCUUACCAAGGCAACGAUGCGUAGCCGACCUGAGAGGGUGAUCGGCCACACUGGAACUGAGACACGGUCCAGACUCCUACGGGAGGCAGCAGUAGGGAAUCUUCCGCAAUGGGCGAAAGCCUGACGGAGCAACGCCGCGUGAGUGAUGAAGGUCUUCGGAUCGUAAAACUCUGUUAUUAGGGAAGAACAAAUGUGUAAGUAAAUAUGCACGUCUUGACGGUACCUAAUCAGAAAGCCACGGCUAACUACGUG